rnacentral:rRNA from 1 species
GGUGGGUUGGCUUGUCAGGUUGAUUCCGGUAACGAACGAGACCUCAGCCUGCUAAAUAGUCACGUCCGGUUCGCCGGACGGCAGACUUCUUAGAGGGACUAUUAGCGACUAUCAGCUAAUUGAAGUAUGAGGCAAUAACAGGUCUGUGAUGCCCUUAGAUGUUCUGGGCCGCACGCGCGCUACACUGACGCGUUCAACGAGCCUCCUGGUCACGAGAGGACCGGGUAAUCUUGUAAACCGCGUCGUGAUGGGGCUAGAGCUUUGUAAUUAUUGCUCUUCAACGAGGAAUGCCUAGUAAGCGCGAGUCAUCAGCUCGCGU